UGACCUGUAGCUUAGUGGUUAGAGCACUCGCCUUACAAGCGAGAGACCUGGGUUCAAUUCCAGGCAGGGUGAA